UAAGGAAUAUUGGUCAAUGGACGCAAGUCUGAACCAGCCAUGCCGCGUGAAGGAUUAAGGCCCUCUGGGUUGUAAACUUCUUUUAUAGGGGAAGAAAUGUGACGGUUCUCCGUCACUUGACGGUACCCUGGGAAUAAGCACCGGCUAACUCCGUGCCAGCAGCCGCGGUAAUACGGAGGGUGCAAGCGUUAUCCGGAUUCACUGGGUUUAAAGGGUGCGUAGGUGGGCAGAUAAGUCAGUGGUGAAAUCUUCCGGCUUAACCGGGAAACUGCCGUUGAUACUAUUUGUCUUGAAUAUUGCGGAGGUAAGCGGAAUAUGUCAUGUAGCGGUGAAAUGCUUAGAUAUGACAUAGAACACCAAUUGCGAAGGCAGCUUACCACACAAUCAUUGACACUGAGGCACGAAAGCGUGGGUAGCGAACA
rnacentral:rRNA from 1 species